rnacentral:rRNA from 1 species
AACGAACGCUGGCGGCAUGCCUAACACAUGCAAGUCGAACGAGACCUUCGGGUCUAGUGGCGCACGGGUGCGUAACGCGUGGGAACCUGCCCUUAGGUUCGGAAUAACUCCCCGACAGGGGUGCUAAUACCGGAUAAUGUCUUCGGACCAAAGAUUUAUCGCCUUUGGAUGGGCCCGCGUUGGAUUAGCUAGUUGGUAGGGUAAAAGCCUACCAAGGCGACGAUCCAUAGCUGGUCUGAGAGGAUGAUCAGCCACACUGGGAGUGAGACACGGCCCAGACUCCUACGGGAGGCAGCAGUGGGGAAUAUUGGAAAAGGGGCGAAAGCCUGAUACAGCAAUGCAGCGUAAGUGAUGAAGGCCUUAGGGUUGUAAAGCUCUUUUAAACGGGAUGAUAAUGACAGUACCGGGAGAAUAAGCCCCGGCUAACUCCGUG